GAGCUCUACAGUCGUUUUACAGUCUCCCAUUUUUUUCUCCCACGCACACGCCCACAUUAUUUCAAUCGUCAGCAGAUCUCAAUUUGUUUUCGGCAGGCUCUAUCUGCACUCCACCCUAUCCCCCCUCCCCUCUCCGGCCGUCAUCAUGAUCUACGAUACCAACUCCGCGCAGUACCAACAGUUUCUUAGGUCCAGCGGCCGCCGUCGCGAUGACUACGGAAAGUCCAAGACGGCCAUCGUGAACAAGCAGACUGCCAAGCCGGCAGGUGCGGCCAGCACUGGUCUGUAGAGAGCGUUCUCUCUCUCACCGCCACCAGAGCUACAGCGUGCUGAGCUGUGCAGCCGAUCCUGCACCGCCUCUCCUCUGCUGCGGCGUGUGCCCGGUAUCCAGUGAACUGCGCGAGGCGUAAGUGCAGUGGCGUUUUGUGCCCACGCCCCGGGGACCGCUCACCAGCGCCACUUCUUCUUCGUCGCUGCUGACAGUGGUGGCCAAGACAAAGUAGCUCAGCUCUGCGAACGUUGAUGUCCGUGUUCUCGUUGCCCGUGAUGCAGCGUUCCUUCGUCGGCUCGUGUUUUUUUUUUUCGCGCGCGCGUGUGUGUGCGUACUUCUUGUUCUGUUACGCGUCCCGGCUCCAUCCGCCCUCUGCGUAGUUCCUAACGGAUCCAGGGAAGGGGGUGAGCCUUAACUGAUUCUCCCUCCCUCUCUCCGUCCGGGUCUGCAUCUGCUCGCGAUUGUGUGAGUGUGCGCGCGAGUGAUGCGAAGGCGACGGUGUCAGGGAGAGAGAGUUUGUGUAAUAUUUAACCGAAAGACAGGCCGCGAAACGUUCGAGGGACUCGUUACACAGGAAUGCGCGCGCAAAGAGCGCUGCGCAAGUCACACCUUGUGCCAAGCGUGCGCGCCACAAUGGUGCACGUUCGUUUGUGCGCGUAGGCAUACAGCCGAACGAGGCUGUGGAACGAGGUCAGGCGAAGGGCUGCGGAUAUGCUGAGGCACCCAAAUGCGCACGGGCGAUGGCGUUUGCUGGCUUCUGUGAGAGCCCGACCCCCUCUUGAAGGGGCCACCUUUGAGGUUUGUGCCAGAGGUGUUGCGGUUUCUUUUUCCUGCCCUCUGCCAUUCUUUGGUGCGGCUCAAACGCAUUGGGAGGUGCACAUCAGCCGUCGGUGUCACUCACGGGCGGCCCGCACCCCGCAGUGCCCUGACUUUUCAUUCCUCCUCUCUCUCACCAUGGAUGAACGGCCCACGGGGUCCUUGCAGCACUCGGCCUCUGCUCAACACUGCUUGUGGCUCUCUCUCUGUUUCCACUGCUUCUGCAG
rnacentral:misc_RNA from 1 species